rnacentral:lncRNA from 1 species
GCGCGCGAACCCCGCCGGCCACGUCCGGCCCCCGCCCGGCCUUUGUCCCGGUGCUGAGCCGCCGCGCCGGGGGAGGGGACUGGACUGACCCCGUCGCCCGUUCACUGAUUGACGUAUCGAUUCAUUCCAGCACUCUCGCUCCGGCAGCCGCCAUCCACCGCCAGUUUGGAGAGCCGGACACCCGGGUUCGAAUCCCGGCUUUGCCGCUUUUCCACUCUGUGCCCUCGAUGGUGAAAUUAGACCCAUUACAUCUUCUGGAGAAACUGGAAGGGGCUUGCAGUAGGUUGAAUGGUGGCCGCCCCAGAAGAUAUGUCCUUGGAACCUGCUAAUGAAACCUUACUUGAAAAAGGCAUCUUUGGGCCGGGCACAGUGGCUCACACCUGUAAUCCCAGCACUUUGCGAGGCCAAGGCCAGUGGAUCACCUGAAGUCAGGAGUUCAAGACCAGCCUGGCCAACAUGGCGAAAUCCCAUCUCUACUAAAAAUACAAAAAGUAUCUGGGUGUGGUGGUGGGUGCCUGUAACCCCAUCUACUCGGGAGCCUGAGGAAGGAGAAUAACUUGAACCUGGGAGGCAGAGGUUGCAGUGAGCCGAGGUCGCGCCACUGCACCCCAGCCUGGGCGACAGAGCGAGACUCCGUCUCAAAAAAAAAAAAAAAAAAAAAAAAAAAAAAAAAAAAAAAAAAAAGAGAGAGAGAGAAAGGCAUCUUUGUCAAUGUAUUUAAGUUAAGGAUCUUGAGAUGAGAUUAUCCUGGAUUGUCCAGUUAACCCUGAAUCCAGUGACAAGUGUCUUUAAAAGAGAUACACAGAGGAGAAGACAGACACAAAGAGAGAAGGUGAUGUGAAGAUGGGGGCAGAGAUUGGAGGGACGCAGCUACAAGCCAAGAAAACCAAGGAUUGCUGGCAGCCACCAGAGGCUGGGAGAGAGGCCUGGGUUGAGACGGCCUCAGAGCCUCCAGAGGGAGCCUGGUCCUGCUGACACCUCAGUUUUGGAGUUCUGACCUCCAGAACUAUGAGAAAAUAAAUUUCUGUUGUUUCAAGCCACCGAGUUUGUGGUAACUUUUCAUGGCAGACCUAGGAAACUAAUACAGGAAUGAACUUGGGGAAAACAACAGUGGGAAGGUCCUUGCCCAGUGGAGCCCUUCCUGGAUGGCACUGUCCACACCCAGGGCUUCAUUCCUUCUCCAAAGA